CUUUCAAAACGUCGGCUUUCGUGUCAUUGAGAAUAGGAAGAAAUUCAUUGAAGAAACGCUUACGACCCUCUCCGUCUAGUUUAUACUUAAGGCGCCAUAAACCACUACGAAGAAUGGAAUACCAAUCAUCCAUGUUAUUCCCAGGUCCCAUCCAUAAAGAAAUUCCAGCAAAAUCGCCGACUUCCAGAACAAGGCCGCGAAUAAUGUGCG